AUAGACAUAAGACCUGCAGGUGUGGCAGCUCUGUCACAUGUGUGUCAGUAGGUGGCAGAAAGAGGAGAGGCUAUGUCUAAGCUCAGUGUUCCUAUCUAUGAACAUCUGAAUGAUUAAUAUCCUGACAUU